rnacentral:tRNA from 1 species
GCCUCCUUCGACUAGCGGUUAGGUCGCGGCCCUUUCAAGGCCGAAACAGGGGUUCGACUCCCCUAGGAGGCA